rnacentral:rRNA from 1 species
GACGAACGCUGGCGGCGUGCUUAACACAUGCAAGUCGAACGGAAAGGCCCUGCUUUUGUGGGGUGCUCGAGUGGCGAACGGGUGAGUAACACGUGAGUAACCUGCCCUUGACUUUGGGAUAACUUCAGGAAACUGGGCUAAUACCCGGUUAGAGCUUCUGCUGCAUUGUGGGGGUUGGAAAAUUUCGGCGGUUGGGGAUGGACUCGCGGCUUAUCAGCUUGUUGGUGGGGUAGUGGCUUACCAAGGCUUUGACGGGUGGCCGGCCUGAGAGGGUGACCGGCCACAUUGGGACUGAGAUACGGCCCAGACUCCUACGGGAGGCAGCAGUGGGGAAUAUUGCACAAUGGGCGGAAGCCUGAUGCAGCAACGCCGCGUGCGGGAUGACGGCCUUCGGGUUGUAAACCGCUUUCGCCUGUGACGAAGCGUGAGUGACGGUAAUGGGUAAAGAAGCACCGGCUAACUACGUG